ACCUCCCCACGCACGCGACCUGCUCUUCUAUCGUUCCCUCUCCCACAUGCCUCCUCAAGCGACCCCACCUCGCGCUCCCGAUGCUGCGCCGACACCUCCUCCCCUUCUCUCACGGCCUCUACAAGCAUCCACAAAUCCUCCCUCUCCCAUAAUCUCCUGUUUUUGCCUCUCAAUCACGAAUCAGGAUCCAUGGAGGUUUCCGACAAGUGCUACUCGAUCUGCUAUACGGCAGCGACCGGGACCGCCGGCCGUGGGUCUGCGUCUCGCUGCUCAUCCUCCGGGAGGCUGCACACGGAGGGAACUCGGUGUUGGUGAGGUUCCAUGGAGUGCCAAGCGGGUGCUCUUCGCCAGCGGGAGGAACACGACAUGUGUUGCUCAUUAGAUCUGUCUACUCCUGUAUUUUCAGUUACCUGUGUGACUGGAAAAAGUACACUAUAUGUUACUAUGCUAUAUUUCUUAAGUUAUGUAUAGAACCUCUACCUAUAUACUUGGAUCACCGGAUUGUUCAUUUCUUUUUAUGCAACAAAACUACAGAAUUAGUACUUAUCAUUGCAGUGUCGUGUUCUGUGUAUACCAAUAUCUCUACCACUAUAAUACACCAGUCUUGAAUUUGGAUUCACCACCCUACUUUUUUUUUAGUCCGCUAGGGUACUGAUCACCUAAACUAAUGAACUAAUAGCCAAGAUACAGUGCAGAGAGUAAACUUGCCGGGUGAUACAUGAGAGCAUUUAUAUAAUGGUUGGUUCUAUCAAGUUUUUAACCGAUUUAUACUGAAUUAAACUUGUUGAUAUGGCGAUAGGGUCUCCAGUGUACAUGAUUAUCGAUUAAAUUUGUAUAUAAACUUCUUCCAAUUUGUUCAAUUGUAACCCUAGUGAUGUAACAAUGAAUGCUAAUUGUAUUGUUCUGCUCUUGGUUAGUACAAGAAAUGCUUGAGUUGUCAAUCAGGAAGAACUUCAAUUCUUCAAGCAAGAACUCUAGACCGGGCUUUCAAAUAAGUUGGACUGUAGAUAAUGUCCAGAUUUGUGAUCAUUGAUGUUUGUGCUUUCUUCUUCAUGUUCUGGUGAGGAGGAAGGGAAAACGCUGGAGCCGAUAGAUGUUUAGUGGGACUAUGUUCUGAAUUGACAAAGCUAAAGUUUUUGCGACUACGGAAUUGUGAUUGGAUAUUCUUGAGUAUUCAGUUCUUCAGUACUGUUAAUUGAACAUACACUGCAAGUCAAAUUUCCAGGUAAAUCUGAUCAAGACUACUAGAUGAUCCAAGUGGAGGAUUAUUUCACUUUCAGACCCACUUUGUAAUUGUACAUCAUUGUCUUACCACAAAAGUUUAGAUGGACAUAGUAUCCAGGAUACCAACUAUUUCGAACUCCUCUCUACAAAAAAGGCUUAAGGGGAUUGGUAACUGGAGUUCAGAGCAUAAAAUUAUUCUAAUUGCCAUGCCUACAGUAUUUUAUACACAGAUUUGAGAGAGGAAUAGAUGGAUAGAUGAGAAAUGGACCAUUAAAGUUGCUUUUCAUGGUUCUCUUAGGGACCAUUGCAAAAGGUGUUUUUGUUUGGAUAAAGGUCAUCGAGCUAAGGUAAGCUCUCCAUAGACUGGAACAUUAUCAUGUCCUCGCCGGCGAGGAAGCCAGGUUCCCAUGGCAGUCUGCCACGCUCGCUUCAGUAGCUCAUUGAUUAAGAGGUACGAGUGGGUGGCCAGCUGCAAUGUCUAGAUGGAAGACCGCUCCUGUUCAGAUUUAUUUUGGGUUCUUGAUUCCUUUUUCCCAAUGGUUAUAUGUAAUUAGUACAACAUUAGGAAAAAAAAUUAUACCAUGUUUGUGGCUGGAUGCAUUGAGUUGUUGGAAUUGUUGUAUUAGAAGUGCACUCUUGAUUGUCUUACCAAUGGUCCAGAAGAAUUGCACAACCGGUGAAAUUGACCGUGGUUUUAAUGUACUUUUGUUACAAUAGAGUUUUUUUAGGAGCUAGCAAAGGACAGUGGGAGAGAUCUCCCACUGAUUUGUAACUAUAAAAAGAAGGACGUCAGUUACAUUUACAAUAUACUAGAGUAUAUUUCAUUAUUUCCCAGUUUGGACAUACUUCUAUUGGUUUGCUUCUCAUAAAUAUUAUCAUGCAUGUAUCAGCUGGUGAUUGUGUGAUAGUGGCGUGCUCUCAUAAAUAUUAUG